UUCGUGAAUAUCGCAACCUUUCUCUAAUCUCUUAAUCUUAAUUAUCCUCACUUCACUCUCUUCUCUCUCUCCCCCUCUCUCUCUCUCUCUCUGACUCUUCUCUGCAGACAUCACUGCGGCGCUUCCGCCGCCGGGAAACACCUCAGACCUAUCACAGCUCCGGCGACCACAUCUCCGAUGAUUCCCUACUCCGAUCCCUAGCUCCCUUGAUCUCCACAAGCACUUUCCACCGCUAUCAUUCUCCAUCUCCAUCUUCUACUUCGUCAUCAUCUUCUUAGCUUUAUUUCAGAUCCGUUCUCCUGGGAUUCGCGAUGCAAAAAUCGAGGAAUAACGACGCAUUCAUGGAUUACAGAACCAUCUUAUGAGAAUCUCUUUGCCGAAUCCAUCGAAAUCCAAAUCGGAGCAGCUACUGCUACCUGUGGUGGAUCGCAAUCCUUAGGGUUAGGGUUCCAGCUCAAAUUUUCGGCAAAAUGUUGAAGAAAUUCAUGGGAGGAGGGAACAAGAAGCCCUCCAAGUCUGACUCCGCCGAUGCUAUCGCCGGCACCGGCAACAAUGUCGUCGUCAACCACGCCUCCCGUGGAGCUUUACCUGCGCCGGCGCCAAAUUCCGCUGGAAUACCGUCUGCUCCGCCUCCACCGUCCGGUGUCAUGGAGGUCCUGCCGGCGUUCCGCGACGUUCCGGUGGGGGAACGGCAGAAUCUGUUCCUCCGUAAGCUUCAGGUUUGUUGCUUCGUCCUCAACUUCUCCGACACGCUGAAGAACGUUAGAGAGAAGGAGAUCAAGCGGCAAACGCUGAUGGAGCUCGUUGAGUUCAUCCAAUCUGGCUGCGGAAAAUUAUCGGAGAAUUGCCAAGAAGAAAUGAUUCGAAUGAUUUCGGUUAACAUUUUCCGGUGCCUCCCUCCGGCGUCGUACGAGAACACCGGGCAAGAAGCCACCGACCCCGAGGAGGAGGAGCCUUCUAUGGAUCCCGCCUGGCCUCACUUGCAACUUGUUUACGAGCUUCUCCUGCGAUACGUUGUUUCUUCAGACACCGAUACGAAGGUUGCGAAACGGUACAUUGAUCACUCUUUCGUGUUGAAAUUGCUUGAUUUGUUUGACACAGAGGACCCUAGGGAGCGUGAGUAUCUGAAAACUAUACUUCACCGUAUAUAUGGAAAAUUCAUGGUUCAUAGACCGUUUAUUAGGAAGGCGAUUAAUAAUAUAUUCUAUCGGUUUAUAUAUGAGACUGAGAGGCAUAGUGGAAUUGGUGAGCUUUUGGAGAUUCUUGGUAGUAUUAUUAAUGGAUUUGCGUUGCCAAUGAAGGAGGAGCAUAAGUUGUUCCUUGUGAGGGCUUUGUUGCCUUUGCAUAAGCCUAAGUCGCUCGCCAUGUACCAGCAGCAGUUGUCUUACUGCAUUACUCAGUUUGUUGAGAAGGAUUUCAAGCUUGCAGAUACCGUUAUUAGGGGCUUGCUCAAGUACUGGCCUGUUACCAAUUGCCAGAAGGAGGUUCUCUUCCUCGGAGAACUCGAGGAAGUGCUCGAGGCCACGCAGCCUGCCGAGUUUCAGCGCUGCAUGGUUCCUCUUUUUAGACAGAUUUCCCGCUGCCUCAAUAGCUCUCACUUUCAGGUUGCCGAGCGGGCUCUCUUUUUGUGGAAUAAUGAGCACAUCGUGAGCUUAAUUGCCCAAAACAGAGCCGUAAUAUUACCAAUAUUAUUUCAUGCACUUGAGAAAAAUAUAUCGAGUCAUUGGAACCAGGCUGUUCACGGGCUUACUAUGAAUGUUCGCAAGAUGUUUUUGGAAAUGGACGCUGAGUUGUUCGAACAAUGUCAGAGACAACAUGCAGAGAAAGAGGCUAACGCGAAAGAUGUUGAAGAGCAGAGGGAACUAAAUUGGAAGAGAAUAGCAGAUGCUGCCGCACAAAAUGGGGUGGAUGAUAUGGUCACAGAUUAGCUUCCAUAGAUUACCACUGAAACUGCAAGUGUGAAUUUAAUAGGUGAAGAAUGAUGAAUAGGACUUGAUGAUUGAAGGCAUUAUGCAGUAAAUGAUUGAAGCAACUAUGUAUCAAAAGCUAAAAGGUGAUUGUAAAUUUGUAACUGAAAGUUGCUUAUUCUCAUAUGACACAAGAGGCACCUAUGCCACGAGGUUGAUGGCUGAAAAAAAAAUGUACAUAUUCUAGUAUGGAUAGCUUUCUUUUACAUUCCUUUGAAUGAGAAUAGUUAAGACAUGAGUUCCAAUGGAUACGGAUCAUAAUCUCCAUAUAUUCUAAUUAUGGGUCGCAACUGUGAGGGCAUAUACAAA